GACGAACGCUGGCGGCGUGCCUAAUACAUGCAAGUAGAACGCACAGUUUAUACCGUAGCUUGCUACACCAUAAACUGUGAGUUGCGAACGGGUGAGUAACGCGUAGGUAACCUGCCUGGUAGCGGGGGAUAACUAUUGGAAACGAUAGCUAAUACCGCAUAAUAUUGAUUAUUGCAUGAUAAUUGAUUGAAAGAUGCUAUUGCAUCACUACCAGAUGGACCUGCGUUGUAUUAGCUAGUAGGUGAGGUAACGGCUCACCUAGGCGACGAUACAUAGCCGACCUGAGAGGGUGAUCGGCCACACUGGGACUGAGACACGGCCCAGACUCCUACGGGAGGCAGCAGUAGGGAAUCUUCGGCAAUGGACGAAAGUCUGACCGAGCAACGCCGCGUGAGUGAAGAAGGUUUUCGGAUCGUAAAGCUCUGUUGUAAGAGAAGAACGGGUGUGAGAGUGGAAAGUUCACGCUGUGACGGUAUCUUACCAGAAAGGGACGGCUAACUACGUG
rnacentral:rRNA from 1 species